rnacentral:siRNA from 1 species
UAGCUAACAGAUGAUUGUGAUG